ensembl:snoRNA
GUAUAAUGAUGAAACCCAUGCGUGUCAACUGACUCUGUAAUCCUCUGGUGUGUUGUUGCUCUGGUUGGCGUUCUGCUGGCUCGAGUUUUCAGGACACCAGGGACCCAGAGACAUGAUCAUACAUACAUUACUCCUGAAUAC